rnacentral:rRNA from 1 species
GACGAACGCUGGCGGCGUGCCUAAUACAUGCAAGUCGAACGCAGUGGGGACGGGUGAGUAACACGUGGGUAACCUCCCAUCAGAGGGGAUAACACUUGGCAACAAGUGCUAAACCGAUACUGAUGGAUGGACCCGUGGUGCAUUAGCUAGUGGGAGGGGUAACGGCUCACCAAGGCCACGAUGCAUAGCCGGCCUGAGAGGGGGACCGGCCACACUGGGACUGAGACACGGCCCAGACUCCUACGGGUGGCAGCAGUGGGGAAUCUUCGGCAAUGGACGAAAGUCUGACCGAGCAACGCCGCGUGAUUGAAGAAGGUUUUCGGAUCGUAAAACUCUGUUGUUAGAGAAGCGUUAUCUAACCAGAAAGCCACGGCUAACUACGUGCCAGCAGCCGCGGUAAUUC